UACUGAUAAAACAAUGAUAGUCACGUGUUACAUCCUGAUUGGAUAUUAACUCUAUAAACGAUAAAAAUGUAUUGUUGUUGUCAUCGUCAAAUUAGAACAUGAUAUGUGACAAUCAGCAUUC
rfam:Glycine soja cultivar W05 scaffold6132_13, whole genome shotgun sequence.